rnacentral:rRNA from 1 species
UGCCAGUAGUCAUAUGCUUGUCUUAAAGAUUAAGCCAUGCAUGUCUAAGUAUAAGCAAUUAUACAGCGAAACUGCGAAUGGCUCAUUAAAUCAGUUAUCGUUUAUUUGAUAGUACCUUACUACAUGGAUAACCGUGGUAAUUCUAGAGCUAAUACAUGCUGAAAACCCCGACUUCGGAAGGGGUGUAUUUAUUAGAUUAAAAGCCAAUGCCCUUCGGGGCUCACUGGUGAUUCAUGAUAACUUCUCGAAUCGCACGGCCUUGCGCCGGCGAUGGUUCAUUCAAAUUUCUGCCCUAUCAACUUUCGACGGCUGGGUCUUGGCCAGCCGUGGUGACAACGGGUAACGGAGGGUUAGGGCUCGACCCCGGAGAAAACGCCUGAGAAACGGCGUUUACAUCCAAGGAAGGCAGCAGGCGCGCAAAUUACCCAAUGCCGACACGGCGAGGUAGUGACGAGAAAUACUGAUACAGGGCUCUUUUGGGUCUUGUAAUUGGAAUGAGUACAAUUUAAAUCUCUUAACGAGGAACAAUUGGAGGGCAAGUCUGGUGCCAGCAGCCGCGGUAAUUCCAGCUCCAAUAGCGUAUAU